AUUGCUGAUGUGGUUUUCACAUUUAGGCACAGGUGCACACCGAUGAACCUUCAGAAGAAUCUCAAGGACCACUGAUAGAAGGAGACACCUCAUAACAAAGGAUUCCAGAAACGGUCUAUGCUGAGUGAGUGGGACAGUGGGCAAGACCAAAUGUUUCUCAGCACAUUUCUCUCGUUGGUCUUGUAAACAUUGGUCACGUGAUGAGGA